GUGAGUAGGGCGGCCGACUGGUUAUUAAGGCGUAGGGAUUUGCCCAGUAGUGGGGGACAACAUGUGGAAACUCAUGCUAAUACCGCAUACGCCCUACGGGGGAAAGCAGGGGAUCUUCGGACCUUGCGCUAUUGGAGAAGCCUGCGUCGGAUUAGCUAGUUGGUGGGGUAAAGGCCCACCAAGGCGACGAUCCGUAGCUGGUCUGAGAGGAUGAUCAGCCACACUGGGACUGAGACACGGCCCAGACUCCUACGGGAGGCAGCAGUGGGGAAUCUUGGACAAUGGGCGCAAGCCUGAUCCAGCAAUACCGCGUGUGUGAAGAAGGACUGAGGUUUGUAAAGCACUUUCAGUGGGGAGGAAGGGUUUAAUGUUAAUACCAUUAAGCAUUGACGUUAUCCACAGAAGAAGCACCGGCUAACUCUGUGCCAGCAGCCGCGGUAAUACAGAGGGUGCAAGCGUUAAUCGGAAUUACUGGGCGUAAAGCGUGUGUAGGUGGUUAGGUAAGUUAGAUGUGAAAGCCCCGGGCUCAACCUGGGAAUUGCGUUUAAAACUGCUUAACUAGAGUACUGUAGAGGAUAGUGGAAUUUCCAGUGUAGCGGUGAAAUGCGUAGAUAUUGGAAGGAACACCAGUGGCGAAGGCGACUAUCUGGACAGAUACUGACACUCAGACACGAAAGCAUGGGGAGCAAACAGGAUUAGAUACCCUGGUAGUCCAUGCCGUAAACGAUGAGAACUUGCUGUUGGAUGCAUAAAGGCAUUUAGUAGCGGAGCUAACGCGUUAAGUUCUCCGCCUGGGGAGUACGGCCGCAAGGCUAAAACUCAAAGGAAUUGACGGGGGCCCGCACAAGCGGUGGAGCAUGUGGUUUAAUUCGAUGCAACGCGAAAAACCUUACCUACUCUUGACAUCCCGUGAACUUCCAGAGAUGGAUUGGUGCCUUCGGGAACACGGUGACAGGUGCUGCAUGGCUGUCGUCAGCUCGUGUCGUGAGAUGUUGGGUUAAGUCCCAUAACGAGCGCAACCCUUGUCCUUAGUUGCCAGCGCGUAAUGGCGGGGACUCUAAGGAGACUGCCGGUGAUAAACCGGAGGAAGGUGGCGACGACGUCAAGUCAUCAUGGCCCUUAUGAGUAGGGCUACACACGUGCUACAAUGGUCCGUACAGAGGGUUGCAAAGCCGCGAGGUGGAGCUAAUCCCAGAAAGCCGGUCGUAGUCCGGAUUGGAGUCUUCAACUCGACUCCAUGAAGUCGGAAUCGCUAGUAAUCGGGGAUCA
rnacentral:rRNA from 1 species